GAGGAUUAAAGGCUACCGAUCAAGGAGUGUGUGAAAAGCUUGGAUCAUCGGAGUGACUAAAUCUAGUCAUCAACUUCGGCAAAGGUAUGAACCCAAGGGCCAUUGUGGAUGGUGGCCGAAUGUGAGAAAUCGAAUAGGAGAUCUCGUCAAGGAAUAUCGCAAAUCAGGUGAGCCUUGAUAUGGGGACUUGGGCCGGAGGGGAUUCAGAGUGGCCACGGUGAUUGUCUUUGGACUUUUAAAUAAGCGUCGGUUUUCUUUAAAUUUUCUUUAACUAUUAUUUAUUUUUGGGUUGUAAUAAGGCCAAUUUUAACUUUUCUUUUAUUUCUUUUCGGGAUUACUUUAAUUUUAAUAACUUUAAACCUGGUUGAUAAUUAUUCAAAUGGGCUAGACUUAGGACGUGUUUUCAAAA